ensembl:misc_RNA 7SK 7SK RNA
GGAUGUGAGGGCGAUCUGGCUGCGACAUCUGUCACUCCAUUGAUCGCCAGGGUUGAUUCGGCUGAUCUGGCUGGCUAGGUGGGUGUCCACUUCCUCCCUCACCGCUCCAUGUGUGUCCCUCCCGAAGCUGUGCGCUCGGUCAAAGAGGACGACCUUCCCCGAAUAGAGGAGGAACGGUCUUCAGUCAAGGGUAUACGAGUAGCUGCGCUCCCCUGUUAGAACCUCCAAACAAGCUCUCAAGUUGAGGCAGGACCAAGCUCCUCCCCCUGGAAUCGAGGCUGGGCAAGACAUCCCACCAUAGGGAAUAGGU